CAUCCAAGGAAGGCAGCAGGCGCGCAAAUUACCCAAUCCCAAUUCGGGGAGGUAGUGACAAUAAAUACUGAUACGGGGCUCUUUCGGGUCUCGUAAUUGGAAUGAGUACAAUCUAAAUCCCUUAACGAGGAACAAUUGGAGGGCAAGUCUGGUGCCAGCAGCCGCGGUAAUUCCAGCUCCAAUAGCGUAUAUUAAAGUUGUUGCCGUUAAAAAGCUCGUAGUUGAACCUUGGACCUGGCUGAUCUGUCCUCCUAAUCGAGCGCACGGAUUCGGUCGGGUCUUUCCUUCUGGGGAGCCCUAUGCCCUUCACUGGGUGUAGUGGGGAACCAGGACUUUUACCUUGAAAAAAUUAGAGUGUUCAAAGCAGGCCUUUGCUCGAAUACAUUAGCAUGGAAUAAUAGAAUAGGACAUCGGUUCUAUUUUGUUGGUUUCUAGGACCGCUGUAAUGAUUAAUAGGGAUAGUCGGGGGCGUCAGUAUUCAAUUGUCAGAGGUGAAAUUCUUGGAUUUAUUGAAGACUAACUACUGCGAAAGCAUUCGCCAAGGAUGUUUUCAUUAAUCAGUGAACGAAAGUUAGGGGAUCGAAGACGAUCAGAUACCGUCGUAGUCUUAACCAUAAACUAUGCCGACUAGGGAUCGGACGGUGGUUUUUUUAUGCCCCGUUCGGCACCUUACGAG
rnacentral:rRNA from 1 species